AGAGGGGGUGGGGAUGGUCUUGAACGGGAGAAAAGAUGCCUUCUUCCCUGAAACUCUGAAAAAGAGUGAAGGGUGUUUCUAAAUGAGGUAAGUGUGGUUUUGUUGUUGGUGUUGGUUUGGGUGGAGGCUGGGGGAGGGGGAGGAAGCAGAAAUUCAUGCGUCAGUUUUCUUGAUGAAACAGGAGGCCAGGUCAUGCGCUAAGAAAGUGCUGGGGAUUGAGAAGAGACUGAAGGUUUGGCACGAGCACCAGGCAGAAUGCGAAAAGAGACGCUAGUUAAGGAAAUGGUGAUCUACCCUGGAGCUGGCCUCGCUGGAGAAGAGAGGACCCGAGGAUCCUGCAGACUGGGUGAAAAUGGAAAGAGCGAGGACUGAAAUACUCCUGGUGGCGAGGAGGGCAGGAAAGAGCAGAGGUCCUCAGCAGAACCAUUAAAGAAAACUGAACAAGAGAAGAUGUGGGAGACGACCUACUGCAAUGCUUUAUAAAAGAGAAAGCCUGCUGCGUGUUACAGGUGCCUCUCGCUGCCUGUCCGGAUGGUUCCCGACAUACACAGAGAUCGGAGGUGUGGUCGCUUGUUUUUUAUACUAAAAGGUGGUGACAGACCAUUGAAAAAUAACACUGCAAUUCUGAUUGCCAAUUCAGGUCCCCGAGCCUGAAACGUCUUCCCAUAAGUCGUGACUCUUUAUUGCAACUUUCAACUUGCUUUAAUAACAUACCCAUUUUCAACUCGUGGACUAUGAAGGUAGGUGCUUUCAGAGAGCAGUUUUGAGUGGGUUCCUGAAGGACUCAGGGAGGCGACAGGAGGAACAGAAUCACAUUUCUUAGAAGGUGCCACGCCCACUGCCACGUGGUGCUCCCGACUCCGUGGGCCACUUGCUCCUUCAGCUACUAAAGCCGCACCCAGGUUCCCAAGCUCAGACCCUUCCCCUUGUAGUUUCCACUUUAGAUGACCGUUUCUCCUUUCCCCAUUCUCCUGCUUGUUGACGUCUUAUCUUUCUAAGCUCAGGAUCAGAUAUGGCCCCUCCACAAGGUUUGGCCCACCGCGCUGUCUGAGCAGGUCCGCCUCGGAAUCCAGCUUGCUGUGCGCAGGUGGUUCCGUGAUGCACAUUCGUUUUCUGUCAUUCGUUUGCUUUCUUGUCAGCGGGACCUCCCUAGGACUCGAAGGUCCAAAAGGGCAGGUGGACAGGGAGCUUCUCGUCUCAUUUCUCAUCCCGGCACUAGCAUCGAGCACAGUGACUCUCACCUAGGACCUAGGAGCCCCGUAAACACUGGUUAAGUGAGAGGAGUGAAAGUUUACUGUCUCUUUUUCAUCCAUCACACACGCAUGGGAAAUAAACCAAAGCAUAAGUCCUUUCUUGUCUGGGUUCUUAGAUUUGUAGCGAAUCCAUGAAGCUUAUUUAGCUGAAGAUGGGUGCCUUACGGUCCUUGGGUUAUUCAAGACCCAGAAUAAGAUGGUCAUGAUGGAUUAUUCAAGUUCACACAGUUUGAUUCAAGGCUCAUCUCCAUCUGAGUAGCUGGGGACAGGGUACUUCUUACCAUUUAGAAGAGAAACAAAAAUGCCCUCACCCUGGGCCCUUAAUAUCUAUAAAAGCAGUAUCUUAUCCAGCAUGGGGACCGAAAAAAUCACAGCCCCUUUCCUUUCCUUACAAAACUGUGAGUGGUAAAGGUCAAAUCUCAGGCUCUUAAUAACAGCCAGAUUGAAACCCGCUGUCUGGCAGGUACAGUGAUAAUACCACAGAGGUACUUGCGGUAAAAAGUCUCAUUUUACUAAUGAUGAAAAUGAGACCCACAGAAGUUAAACAAGUUUCCCCAGGCUCCAAACUUAGCAAGUGACAAGAGGUAUGAUCCAAAGCCAGGCCUGUCCAAUGCCAAAACCCCCAUGCUCAAUCCUGCCUCAAUUAAACAGUCCAGUUGUGAAUAACAUGAGCCUCCACAACACAGAACCAGGAAUAAGCACCCAAGAAACAAGAAAAGAAAAAGAGUGGCUUGGUAUCCCUUCCUUGGAACACGUCAUCACAACAUACAAAAAAAUUCCUACGAUGCCCCAAGCAAGGGCAAGCCUGACAUUUCUGAGUGAUUAAAUACACAGGGGACAGGAGAAUGAGGUAACGGGUAGGCAGAUUGGAAAGCCAUUCAAGAAGAUGCAUGUAGUUCACCAGAUUUUAACGAGAGAGAGAGGGAUGGAAGAAAGAAGCAUACGAGCAGGGUUUCCUCGGUGGUCAGCCCUGGCCCCUUCAACACCAUUGGGUCCUGGCCUGAGACGGAGCCAGGAGGGGAGAGAAGGAUGCCCAAGGUCACAUGUCUUAGUCAUAAUCAAUGUUGGCCUUGGGAUUUAAGGUACCUACAAGUUGCUACAAGAUUCUUGAGGAACCAGGGUGGUGACUCUCAGAAAAAGAGUGAAUCUUUGUUUCUCCUCUGCCACUGUGCACAACUCUUUCCAAUGUGACAAAGGGACAUGGGGCUGACGUCAGUAGUUCCUGGCACUUUUCCCUGGAGUAGGACCCAGGGGAGUAUGGCUUCCGGUACAGCUGCACCAAAUCUGCGUCUUUGUAACGUAUUCAGGCUGGGGCAGGGAAUGUCUAUGCUCUUGUGCAACUGGGUUUCAAGUUAACCCUCCAACCUGGUUGUAGAAGACAAUUAAUACGAGGUUACCUUUUGUGGAGAAGAGGCCCACGGAGCUCAGAACUGAAGGUGUAUGAUGAUGAUUACUUGCAGAAUUUUUCUAUGUACCUGGAUUGAAACUAGACAAAAUUGUAAGUCGAGUUAUAACAAAGGGAACGUUGGUCCCUGCUGUUGAGAAGCCCUCCUGACGCUCUCUGGGUCCUUUCUGGAGGACGAGUGCUUCCUCCUCUCAAAAAUGAUGCCACAAAAAAGAUUUCAGCUUCCGUUGGGAGGAAUAGCUCUUCAGGGUUUGGAACACUGGAUUCUGCUUGAUGAUGAGACAAAGAAGCCACAAAUUUGCACUGCCUCCCUCUGGCUUCUCCCCCUCCCCUGGGGUGGGCGCCGUAUGAAUAAAACUAUGAUUCAUGUAUUCUAAUUUCUUCAAA